rnacentral:rRNA from 1 species
AUUGAACGCUGGCGGUAUGCUUAACACAUGCAAGUCGAACGGUAACAGGCCUUCGGGCGCUGACGAGUGGCGGACGGUGAGUAACGCGUAGGAAUCUGCCUCAUAGUGGGGGACAACGUGGGGAAACUCACGCUAAUACCGCAUACGCCCUACGGGGGAAAGCGGGGGAUCUUCGGACCUCGCGCUAUGAGAUGAGCCUGCGUUAGAUUAGCUAGUUGGUAGGGUAAAGGCCUACCAAGGCGACGAUCUAUAGCUGGUCUGAGAGGACGAUCAGCCACACUGGGACUGAGACACGGCCCAGACUCCUACGGGUGGCAGCAGUGGGGAAUAUUGGACAAUGGGCGCAAGCCUGAUCCAGCAAUACCGCGUGUGUGAAGAAGGCCUUAGGGUUGUAAAGCACUUUCAAUUGGGAGGAAAACCUGCCGGUCAAUACCCGGUAGC